rnacentral:rRNA from 1 species
UACAGAGGGGGCGAGCGUUGUUCGGAAUUACUGGGCGUAAAGGGCGCGUAGGCGGCCAACUAAGUCAGACGUGAAAUCCCUCGGCUCAACCGGGGAACUGCGUCUGAUACUGGAUGGCUUGAAUUCGGGAGAGGGAUGCGGAAUUCCAGGUGUAGCGGUGAAAUGCGUAGAUAUCUGGAGGAACACCGGUGGCGAAGGCGGUUCUCUGGGAAUGUUCUGACGCUGAGGAGCGAAAGUGUGGGGAGCGAACAGG